CAAUAGCGUAUAUUAAAGUUGUUGCAGUUAAAAAGCUCGUAGUUGGAUUUCUGGUGGGAGCGAUCGGUCUGGCGCUUAGCGCGAGUACUUGCAUCGUCUCCGGCCAUCCUUGGGGAGAGUCUGUCUGGCAUUAGGUUGUCGGGCAGAGGAUCCUCAUCGUUUACUAUGAAAAAAUUAGAGUGUUCAAAGCAGGCUUAUGCCGUUGAAUAUAUUAGCAUGGAAUAAUAAGAUAGGACUUUGGUACUAUUUUGUUGGUUUGCGCACCAAAGUAAUGAUUAAUAGGGACAGUUGGGGGUAUUCGUAUUCCGUUGUCAGAGGUGAAAUUCUUGGAUUUACGGAAGACGAACUACUGCGAAAGCAUUUACCAAGGAUGUUUUCAUUAA
rnacentral:rRNA from 1 species